rnacentral:rRNA from 1 species
UAGAGUUUGAUCCUGGCUCAGGAUGAACGCUGGCGGCGUGCCUAACACAUUCAAGUCGAACGGAGUGUGAAAUGCUUGCAUUUCACAUUUAGUGGCGGACGGGUGAGUAACGCGUGAGCAACCUACCUAAAUGAGCGGAACAACUCCUGGAAACGGGAGCUAAUACCGCAUAAGAACAGUACCGGCGCCUGCCGGAACUGUCAAAGGAGCAAUCCGCAUAUAGAUGGGCUCGCGUCUGAUUAGCUAGUUGGUGAAGUAACGGUUCACCAAGGCAACGAUCAGUAGCCGGACUGAGAGGUUGACCGGCCACAUUGGAACUGAGAAACGGUCCAGACUCCUACGGGAGGCAGCAGUGGGGAAUAUUGGGCAAUGGGCGAGAGCCUGACCCAGCGACGCCGCGUGAAGGAAGAAGGUCUUCGGAUUGUAAACUUCUUUUAUAGAGGAAGAAAAGCGCAGAAAUGCGCCGUGACGGUACUCUAAGAAAAAGCCACGGCUAACUACGUGCCAGCAGCCGCGGUAAUACGUAGGUGGCAAGCGUUAUCCGGAAUUACUGGGUGUAAAGGGUGAGUAGGCGGGGAUACAAGUCAGAUGUGAAAACUGUGGGCUCAACUCACAGCUUGCAUUUGAAACAGUAUCUCUUGAGAGUCGGAGAGGUAAACGGAAUUCCCAGUGUAGCGGUGAAAUGCGUAGAUAUUGGGAGGAACACCAGUGGCGAAGGCG